rnacentral:rRNA from 1 species
CGGUGAAGCAGAGCUUGCUCUGUGGAUCAGUGGCGAACGGGUGAGUAACACGUGAGCAAUCUGCCCCUGACUCUGGGAUAAGCGCUGGAAACGGCGUCUAAUACCGGAUACGAGCUGCGACCGCAUGGUCAGUAGCUGGAAAGAAUUUCGGUCAGGGAUGAGCUCGCGGCCUAUCAGCUUGUUGGUGAGGUAAUGGCUCACCAAGGCGUCGACGGGUAGCCGGCCUGAGAGGGUGACCGGCCACACUGGGACUGAGACACGGCCCAGACUCCUACGGGAGGCAGCAGUGGGGAAUAUUGCACAAUGGGCGAAAGCCUGAUGCAGCAACGCCGCGUGAGGGAUGACGGCCUUCGGGUUGUAAACCUCUUUUAGCAGGGAAGAAGCGAAAGUGACGGUACCUGCAGAAAAAGCGCCGGCUAACUACGUGCCAGCAGCCGCGGUAAUACGUAGGGCGCAAGCGUUAUCCGGAAUUAUUGGGCGUAAAGAGCUCGUAGGCGGUCUGUCGCGUCUGCUGUGAAAACCCGAGGC